AAGCAGCCUAUUUGCUGACUUCUACACAGGCUGGCCUGCAAGCAUUUCCUCUCGGGAUUGCCUGAAGCUGCCACCAUGAGCUCACACACCAUUCCUUCCGUCACCACCAACUCUUUUCCAAACACACAGUGGAGUGACAGCCCGCCCGGGUGUGGGCUGCUCCCCAGGGAGAAAAUAAUAGGAUGCAACCUUUUGAGGUGGAACUUUUGGGGCAUGUGACAGCUCACGAUGAACCAGAAGACAGUAGUAUUCACCCAGCGUGGGGCCCACACAAGAAAGGGGACCUUUGGGAAGUGCAAAGGAAGACCAGGUGGUGUGCCACAGGGACCUAAUUCGCAGAGUAUUCCCAGGAGAGGAUGAGGCACCGUGGAAUUAGAAAUGAUACAGAUUUUGAACAUCAGAAAGGUUGUUUCAGCAACUCCCGGCACAGAUAAAGCCCACUCUGGUGUCUAGAGAAGAAAAAGUUUGAGUCCUCUUCAAGGCUGUUUCCUAACAACAUAAAGAGAUCAUCCUGUAAAUUGAAUGUUAUUUUAUUUCCUGUUACGUUAUAUUCUAAAGCAAAUGGUUCUUAGUGUUAAACUGACUGUUCGAAUCAUAAUUUUAUCUCACUAUCAAUUGUUUAAAAACACUAGUGAAUUAGCCAUAACGUGUUCUCAGCUUGACAAAUAAAGCUCAUGCUCUCAAAAAUAA